rnacentral:rRNA from 1 species
AACGAACGCUGGCGGCAUGCCUAACACAUGCAAGUCGAACGAACCCUUCGGGGUGAGUGGCGCACGGGUGCGUAACACGUGGGAACCUGCCCUUAGGUUCGGAAUAACAGUUAGAAAUGACUGCUAAUACCGGAUAAUGUCUUCGGACCAAAGAUUUAUCGCCCUUGGAUGGGCCCGCGUAGGAUUAGCUAGUUGGUGGGGUAAAGGCUCACCAAGGCGACGAUCCUUAGCUGGUCUUAGAGGAUGAUCAGCCACACUGGGACUGAGACACGGCCCAGACUCCUACGGGAGGCAGCAGUGGGGAAUAUUGGACAAUGGGCGAAAGCCUGAUCCAGCAAUGCCGCGUGAGUGAUGAAGGCCUUAGGGUUGUAAAGCUCUUUUACCUGGGAUGAUAAUGACAGUACCAGGAGAAUAAGCCCCGGCUAACUCCGUGCCAGCCGCCGCCGUAACAC